rnacentral:rRNA from 1 species
GACGAACGCCGGCGGCGUGCCUAACACAUGCAAGUCGAACGGAACUCGGGACUUCGGUUCUGAGUUUAGUGGCGAACGGGUGAGUAACGCGUGAGGAACCUGCCUUUCAGUGGGGGACAACAGUUGGAAACGACUGCUAAUACCGCAUAAUGUGUUUUGGGGGCAUCCCCGAGACACCAAAGCUUUAUGUGCUGAAAGAUGGCCUCGCGUCUGAUUAGAUAGUUGGUGAGGUAACGGCUCACCAAGUCUGCGAUCAGUAGCCGGUCUGAGAGGAUGAACGGCCACAUUGGGACUGAGAUACGGCCCAGACUCCUACGGGAGGCAGCAGUGGGGAAUAUUGGGCAAUGGGGGAAACCCUGACCCAGCAACGCCGCGUGAAGGAAGAAGGCCUUCGGGUUGUAAACUUCUUUUAGCAGGGACGAAGAACGUGACGGUACCUGCAGAAAAAGCAACGGCUAACUACGUGCCAGCCGCCGCGGUAAUAC